rnacentral:lncRNA from 1 species
GAGAGAGAGAGAGAGAGAGAGAGAGAGAGGCAGAGGCACAGGAGGAGGGAGAGGCAGGCUCCAUCCCGGGAGCCGGAUGUGGGACUCGAUUCUGGGACUCCAGGAUUGCGCCCUGGGCCAAAGGCAGGCGUUAAACCACUGAGCCACCCAGGGAUCCCCUAGUCUCUAGUUUAAAUGCUAGUGUCCAAAUGUUUAAAAUGAGGGUGAUUAUAACAGCCAACUCAUCGGGACUUUGUGAUGGUUAAGUGAAAUUAUCCAAGUAAACGAUUUUACACGGUACCUGACACAAAGCAAUUAUUAUUAAUAUUGCACACAAUUAUUCAUACAAAAUGCAAGUUUUCCUUUUCCUUUGGCUCUUACAUUAUAGGAUUAUGAUCUCAUUUUAUAUCAGUUCUCCUCAGGUUUGGUUACCUGAUAGGCAGGUAAUUCUAACAUUUUGCUUCUUCUCUAGUUACUCUUCCAUUUGUUCCUUUCCUGAUUGGUGAGCCCCCUCCUCCAGUAUGUAAGAGCUGAGAAGCUCAGACUAACUAACGCCUGUCGAUGCACAGAAUUUCCUUGGCCAAAGUUCAGUUGGGAGAAGACAACCCAAAAUAAGGCUUUGGGAUUCUUCCCUGAUUUAAAUCUAUCCUGGUCAUUGCAGGUUUAAUUUGUUUUAACUAAUAUGGGUUAUAUCCCAGUUAAAUCAUACCAUGGGAGUAGAGGCUUUGCUUUAGGCAUGGUGAACUUAAAGCCUAUGAAAAAUAUUUUGUUGCAAUUUCUGGCUUAUUCUCUGACCAUCCACCUUAUCCUCAUGGCACUUACUGUCUUUUCCCCCAUCCUACCCUAUGCUGACUGCUCAAAGUCUUCAAGCUUUCUCUCUGUCUCUGUCUCUUUUCUUCUUUCAAAAGCUAUUACCAAUCUCAGGUACAAUCUUCGGUACAAAGGAUUAACAUCGGCUUUAACUCUUACCUCUUCCAUUGAUAUUGGCCUUUAACAAUGAUUAGAGCUAAUGAGAUGGGGCUUUAAUAUUAGUAGCCAUCCACAGAUAUCCAAUCUGAAGGUAAGAAGCAACAAAUCUUCCCUAUCUUUUUGGAAUGGCACCAAGAGCGGAUCUGAAAAGGAUAGGCCUGGGACAUAGGAGACUGUGAGAUUUAAGGAGAAAAUUCUCAUUGAAUUUGAUGAUAGGGACUUCAGGUUAUAGCCCUGAGUCCACUGUUACAGGAGGUAUGGUUUGGAGUAAAUCACUUUUCCUCUGCAGACCUCUCAGCAUCCUUAUCUAAAAAGUGAGGGUGGUAACAUCUGCAGAUAUGUUUCUGCCUCAUAGGAUUGCUGUAAGGACCCAGUAAUAUGAUAUAGAAAGGCUUAGGAAACCUCUGCUCUCCAUGUAAAUAUCACUACUAUCAUCUCUGCUGGAAAUGUGAGGAUGCCACAAGAAUCACACAGAAAAGAAAUCUGAAUGUAGUGAGAAAGAAACACAAAGUGAAAAUCUAGAGCUCAUUUUUUGGCUGCCAAUGCCUCAACCUCUCCAGGAAUUCUGUUGAGAAGUAAUGUCCAGUGGUUAACAUGUAGAGGGAGGUAAUCCACUCUGUAAAAGGGAUUGUUAAAGCAAAAGCUACAAGCUGCUGAGGAUGAAACCAGUGGAGAAUUUGAGUGGAAAAAUUGAAAUUACUUCCCAAUCCCAAAAAUCCUAUGAAGCAUAGCAUAUAGAGCACAUUUCUAAUGGUGUUGAUGAAAAAAAAUUGGGAAACUCAUUCUUAUUGAAUUUGACAUAAAGUUAGAAGGUUUUAAAACUAUCACAGCAGAUUUGAACAAUGGACCAAAAAUGUUUAUAUUAAAGAUCGGAUUUAAAGAAAAUAAAUGAAACUCAUGUUUUUACAUUUUUUAAAAAGCCACAGUAUACAUUAAUUCCGUGGAUUUCAAAUUUUUUUUUUUUUUAAAGGCCAUACAAAUUCAGGGUGAGGCAGCAAUGUAAGAUUGCUAACAAAUUAUAAUGCAGUGUUGGAACAAACUAAUAAAAAUACAAUAUCUCAUCUUUAGAACAACAAGAAUAUCCACUUGACUGAGCCGCCAUGAGGAUUAAACAAGAUACCUGAUCGAAGCAUCUAGCAUAGUAACCAGUCACAGAAAUGUUGAUUCAUUUCAUUCACUUGACCUCUUCCCUGCCCAAAACCACAGCAAUUACUGCUUGUACCAUUCUUCUCAUCCUCAUGACACCUCUUAGAAUUUUGCCUUUUAUUAUUUAAAUUUUACAUAGUAUUUUGAGUUUCAUAUGCAUGCAUUUUGUCUGUUUAUAACGUGAUUGGUUAUGUGGAUAGUUUUUUCUCCUGAUGUAAAAUUUACAUUCAGUGUAAUGCACAAAAUCCUGUUACAUUCCGAGUUUUGACAAAUGCACACGCCUGCACGAUCCAAACUUCUUGAGACCUAGAACAAUACCUUCACCCCAGAAAGUGCUCUUGUGCCUCCGCCCAGUCAUCCCCCACCUCACACUCUCUGAGGCAACAACUGUUCUGAUUUUUUUUCCAUCACAGAUUAGUUUGCCUGUUCAUGAAUUUUAUAUAAAUGGAAUUAUACAGUAUGCAUCCCUCAUCUAAGACUCCUUUCACCUGGUAUCAGUGUAUCAUUUUUGAGAUGCAACCAUGUUGCUGUAUCAGUAGCUGGUCUUUUUAUUGUGCUUAAGUAUUUUCCAAGCCCUUUGGAGACAGGAACUGUGCCAUAACUCCUUGUACUCCCCAGUCCCCGCCCCAUGGCACUUGCACAGAAUUGUGCAUGUUGUAAGUGUUCUGCUGACAUUUGGUGAUUCAAUGGAUGAAUGAACAUAUGAGUUAUUUAAUCAAUCAACAAGCCAUUUAGACACACUCAAGUUUCACUUUUCUAACCCAGACAGUCUCUUAUGUAUUCAACUUACCAAACACCAUUGCUACAUAUCCUGGGGUGAGAAGCCUGCCUGCUUUACUGUAGGAAUCCAGGGAUCCGCCCAUUUGCAAUCAUACUGCAGUAUUUGCUGCAUUCGUGCAGUGCAGUGGUGAAGUACUGGCGAGAAAGUGAACUGCUGCCCUGGAUGGGCUCCAGCAGGGCUGUGAAAGAGCCAACCUCAGGGCUUUGUCUCCUGCAGACGGAAAUGCUUAUCCUCUAUCUUUGCAAACUGUAAAUCUCACAUUCCUCCACUUGAUUUAUUAAAUCACUGUAAAGGUCAGCAGAGAAAGCCAGGUGCCGCAUGGAAUGUUUCAGUGGCUAGUUAAGACCCAAACUACAGCAGCAGCAGGUAUUCCCCUGUAGUCACGACUGAACAAACAGGGUUAGUACUGUGGGUUCUGACUGCGAUGGCUGGGACCUGCCUGAAAUGACUGCAAAUUAAGCCCUUUAAUGUCCCAGGCAUACCCUCUUACCUCUUGCAUCUGGUGACUGUGAUUAAGGGCAAGACACCGUGGAGCAGGCCUCUGGGGAGGAAAUACAUUACCCUGGCUAGUUCCGUGGAGCAAGCAUUUAGGGUUUGAUCCCAUCACCAUCAUUUCUGCUUGGACAGCAGCAAGUUCCUGUCAUUUCUAAUAUCGCACGUGUUUUGAAUAUAAACGUGCUUUUCAUCCUUAAUCUAUUCAAAUGACAUUCCUUUCCUGCUGCAAUCUAAAUCUUAUAUAGCUGCAUAGCGCAUUUUAUGAUGCAUUACUUCACAACGUGAUGCUAUAAAAUUAGGCAUAUUUUGUAUCACAAUGGGAAAAGUUUUCUUUCAGACAUAUUUCCCAAAAGAUGGGAAGAUUCAUGUGUGAUGAUUCCUAUGGUGAGUGUAACAUAUGAAGAAAGAAACUAGUGAUAAGAAACAGAAAAAAAUCUAUUUGUGGCUUCCUCCAAUUAGGCAUUUUCUGUUGAUUUUAUUUAUGUUUCUUUUUAAAAAGUUAAACAUUUGCAAGAAGCAUGCAAUCUCUGAUAGGGAGAUAUUAAAUGCCAGCAUUUUUCUUUUAUUCUUUUUUUUCUCUUAUUCUUUUUUUUUCUUUUUAAAUUUUAUUUAUUUAUGAUAGUCAUAGAGAGAGAGAGGCAGAGACACAGGCAGAGGGAGAAGCAGGCUCCAUGCACCGGGAGCCCGAUGUGGGACUCGAUCCGGGGUCUCCAGGAUCGCACCCUGGGCCAAAGGCAGGUGCCAAACCGCUGCGCCACCCAGGGAUCCCUCUCUUAUUCUUUAUAGUAAUUUUUUCAAGUCACUUUAUCAAACCUAUUUACAAGGGCAGAAAAUGAAAUUAUUUUAAAUGGAAAAAAGGCAGAAGUCACGAUGUGGUCAUUUUAAGGAACUUAGAUCAGCCAAGUGGUACUUUAGCUCAUAAUCCCAGGAAAGGUGUUUUGUAAACCGAUGUUUAGAGUAAUGCCUAAAAGGUGACAUCACCGGUUAUCUGUCCACUGGUAGCCUCCAUUUAAUUUUACAUGGGGCCAUUUAAAAAAUCUACAACAAUCAUAGUCAAUUGUCAUCACUAGUUGUCCAAGAGAGACUGCUAACAUGCUCGUUAACAGUCUCCUGAUCUAAAUCAGUUCAGAAUGGUGUCCUCAAAACAUGAGAUGUUUACUACAUGCACACUCUGCAGACCGCAGCAUGCAAUUA